AAUAGAUACCCUGGUAGUCCACGCCGUAAACGAUGAGUACUAGGUGUCGGGGGUUACCCCCUCGGUGCCGCAGCUAACGCAUUAAGUACUCCGCCUGGGAAGUACGCUCGCAAGAGUGGAACUCAAAGGAAUUGACGGGGACCCGCACAAGUAGCGGAGCAUGUGGUUUAAUUCGAAGCAACGCGAAGAACCUUACCUAAGCUUGACAUCCCAUUGACCUCUCCCUAAUCGGAGAUUUCCCUUCGGGGACAGUGGUGACAGGUGGUGCAUGGUUGUCGUCAGCUCGUGUCGUGAGAUGUUGGGUUAAGUCCCGCAACGAGCGCAACCCUUGCCUUUAGUUGCCAGCAUUAAGUUGGGCACUCUAGAGGGACUGCCGAGGAUAACUCGGAGGAAGGUGGGGAUGACGUCAAAUCAUCAUGCCCCUUAUGCUUAGGGCUACACACGUGCUACAAUGGGUGGUACAGAGGGUUGCCAAGCCGCGAGGUGGAGCUAAUCCCUUAAAGCCAUUCUCAGUUCGGAUUGUAGGCUGAAACUCGCCUAC
rnacentral:rRNA from 1 species